rnacentral:lncRNA from 10 species
GGAUUCAGAGCAAGCCCUCGGCAUCUUAGAAGACGAGUUGCAGCGGCCGCAGCUGCCCGUCUGGAAGAAGUGAAGCCCGUGGUGGAAGUUCACCAUCAGAGUGAGCAAGAAACUUCAGUGAGGAAACGAAGAAUCAAGAAGAGCAGCCGAGUCCAGCCAGAAUUUUAUCACUCUGUUCAAGGUGCUUCAAUCAGGAGGCCUAGCCAUAAAAAGGAAUGAAUUAACAGAAUUUGCAGUGACCUGGAUGAGAUUGGAGACUAUUAUUCUAAGUGAAGUAACUCAGGAAUGGAAAACCAAACAUCAUAUGUUCUCACUGACAUGUGGGAGCUAAGCUAUGAGGACUCAAAGUCGUAAGAAUGAUAAAAUGGACUGUGGGGACUUGGGAGGAAGAGUAUGAGGAGGGCGAGGGAUAAAAGCCAACAGUAUGGUACAAUGUAUACUGCUUGGGUGAUGGGUGCACCAAAAUCUCACAAAUCACCACUAAAGAACUUACUCAUGUAACCAAAUACCACCUGUACCUCAAUAACUUCUGGAAAAAUAAAAAAUAAAUAAAGUGAUAACAAUAGCUACCAUAUAGAGUCAUGAGGAUGAACUGAGCUGACAUAUGGAAAGACCUGCAUAGAAUAAACAAUAAAUAGUAGUUUCUUCCUUUUAUUCCUCCUCCCCUAGACCAUGAAUUCUUUGAGGCCCAUAUCAAGGGUUCUAGAAUAUCUCCUGGCAUCUGGCGUUUGGCAUUUGGCAUCUGAGUGAAUACUAUUGACUGAGUGAAUGAUAUAUGAAAGAUAGCUAAUGAUGACU